rnacentral:rRNA from 1 species
UACGUAGGGUGCAAGCGUUAAUCGGAAUUACUGGGCGUAAAGCGUGCGCAGGCGGCUUUACAAGACAGAUGUGAAAUCCCCGGGCUUAACCUGGGAAUGGCAUUUGGGACUGCAAGGCUUGAGUGCGGCAGAGGAGACUGGAAUUCCUGGUGUAGCAGUGAAAUGCGUAGAUAUCAGGAGGAACACCGAUGGCGAAGGCAGGUCUCUGGGCUGACACUGACGCUCAUGCACGAAAGCGUGGGGAGCAAACAGG